rnacentral:rRNA from 1 species
GAUGAACGCUGGCGGCGUGCCUAAUACAUGCAAGUCGGACGCAAUGCUUCGGCAUUGAGUGGCGAACGGGUGAGUAAUACAUAAGCAACCUGCCCCUGUGAGGGGGAUAACUGCUGGAAACGGCAGCUAAGACCGCAUAGGCAUACAUGACGCAUGUCGAGUAUGUUAAAUAUCCUACGGGAUAGCACAGGGAUGGGCUUAUGACGCAUUAGCUAGCUGGUGAGGUAGAGGCUCACCAGGGCGACGAUGCGUAGCCGGCCUGAGAGGGUGGACGGCCACACUGGGACUGAGACACGGCCCAG